AAGGAAUAUUGGUCAAUGGGCGGAAGCCUGAACCAGCCAUGCCGCGUGCAGGAAGACUGCCCUAUGGGUUGUAAACUGCUUUUGUCCAGGAAUAAACCUAGAUACGUGUAUCUAGCUGAAUGUACUGGAAGAAUAAGGAUCGGCUAACUCCGUGCCAGCAGCCGCGGUAAUACGGAGGAUCCGAGCGUUAUCCGGAUUUAUUGGGUUUAAAGGGUGCGUAGGCGGCCUAUUAAGUCAGGGGUGAAAUACGGUGGCUCAACCAUCGCAGUGCCUUUGAUACUGAUGGGCUUGAAUCCAUUUGAAGUGGGCGGAAUAAGACAAGUAGCGGUGAAAUGCAUAGAUAUGUCUUAGAACUCCGAUUGCGAAGGCAGCUCACUAAGCUGGUAUUGACGCUGAUGCACGAAAGCGUGGGGAUCGAAC
rnacentral:rRNA from 1 species